rnacentral:lncRNA from 1 species
UUUUUAGUUGCAUUCCAUAUCCACACCUCCAUUGCCCUUAAUUCUAGCCUGAUUACAAAUGAGUGGAACCUCCGGUGAUGGAAACAAUGCGGCAGCAGCUGCAAAGAAGAAAGGCAAGGCAAAAGUGAGCCGAACAUCUAUGAUAUUAUGGCAUGCUCAUCAAAAUGAUGCAUCAGCGGUGAGAAAGCUGUUGCAGGAAGAUCGGAUGCUUGUUCUAGCUAGGGAUUAUGAUCAUCGUACUCCACUGCAUGUAGCUUCACUUCAUGGUUGGAUUGAGGUUGCCAAAUGCUUACUUGAGUUCGGUGCAGAUGUUAAUUGUCAAGAUCGCUGGAAAAACACUGUAAGUUUUAUCGUUCUUCAUUCAUGCAUAAAAAAUAUGAGUAUCAUGCGGUAAAGACCAUAAAACUGUCAUAACAUUUUCGUUUUGUGCUUGGUCUAUGUUGCCGUUCUGUAAUUUUUCUUAGUUCCCAUGGUUCAUCCCUAAAGUCUAUAAUAUAAAAUAUGUGUUUCAAUGCAUGUUCUAAUUAAGAGAAUCGACAGAACAAAUGUAUAAUGUUAUGGAUUAUUGUCGUAAAGUUUAUUGCCAGGGACUGAUCUAAACAUAUUGUUGCUAAUGUAUGCAUGUUAUAGACAGAAAUGGCUAAAUAUCUAAUAUUGAAUAUCGAUUAGAUGUAAUAAGUUUUGAAUGCUUCUGCAAUGUUUCUAGUUAAAAAAAAUAGUUAUUAAGUUGCGAAGUUUAUUACCAGGGAGUAGCCUAAUUGCUAAUGUAAUGCUUAUAUAUAUUGUUAAUUUUAGGGAAUUAGUGAAUAUGCUGUUGAGUAGUCUAAUUGCUAGUUUAAUGCUUGUAUAUAUAUAUUUGAAUUUGUAUUCUUUUGAUGUGACUGCUAAGUCUGCUGAUGAUCUUUGAGGAUUGAUUUAAGUACCUGAUUAUUGUGACAGCCUUUAGCAGAUGCAGAAGGAGCUAAAAAGCAUCAGAUGAUUGAGUUAUUGAAGUCCUAUGGCGGUCUAUCUUAUGUAAGUUUGGUGUAUGUGGCCAAUGUGCAUGUUUGUCUUUCAUUGUUCAAUUGAAGAAUGUUAACAAAAAUGUGGGCUGACCGUAAUUUUCUCACUGAAUUAUUGAGACAUAUUAGAAAUCAGAUUUAGAAGUGAGCCCCUUUAUGAGCUUUUCUUGAGCACAUUCUACAUUCUUUGAAAUCGUUGAAGUGGUCUCUUGUAAGCACUUUGAGAGCUCACAAAUGAUAGUUAGCAGGAUUUUAUAAUAUAUAUCCACAGCUGCUAAAUAUACUUUUCUGGGUUGUUAAUAUCCUUCUGUUUCGAGUUUCUUAUGCAUUCUUUGCUGAGAUAUAUUGGUGUUCUGCAGGGUCAAAAUGGUAGCCAUUUUGAACCAAAGCCUGUUGCACCUCCUUUACCUAAUAAAUGUGACUGGGAAGUGGAGCCCACUGAACUGGACUUCUCAAGUGCGAUCAUUAUUGGAAAGGUCUUUUUAUAUAUCUGUUAAAAUCAUUAAUUGUUAUAUUUCGGUUAAAAUCAUUGAUCAUUAUUGCUAAAAUACUGAUUAAAGCUGCUACAGUUGAUGGCAGUCUUCUAAAUUAGUUNUAACACUGUGAAAAGUGUCAAAUGUGAUUAUGAGAUUCUUAAUAUGUUUGAUUGGCUACUUAGUUUUUGCUAAAAUCAUGUAGAAGCUAUUCUUAUUUUCACUAUUUAUGUCCUUGAUUACAUAAUAUAGUAAUUUAUGGCUUAUUAUAUGUAAAAUGACAUUAUUUUAGCAAUCAAGUGUUAUGUAACUUGUUACUCUGAUAUUAACAAGUUCUGUAAUUUGUGUUGCGCACUGCAUAACUUUCUUAACUAAUUAAUAACUAAUGUUAUAUAGUUACAGAACAAACCAUAAUUUUCUUAACUAUGAAAGGAUGCACAAACUACUUUUAAACUGGAACCAGCAAUGCCAAUCAAUCAAUUAAUCAUUGUUUUAGAAGUGCCAAAAUGUACUAAACAUAGCUCAGCCAUCCAAAUAAUUAUCACCAAAAUCCAAAUGCAAAAUGCCAAUAAUAGUAACUAAACCAUACAAAAAUAAUUCUAUACACACACUCUUAGAUACAUAUACAUAUUUUUAGUUGCAUUCCAUAUCCACACCUCCAUUGCCCUUAAUUCUAGCCUGAUUACAAAUGAGUGGAACCUCCGGUGAUGGAAACAAUGCGGCAGCAGCUGCAAAGAAGAAAGGCAAGGCAAAAGUGAGCCGAACAUCUAUGAUAUUAUGGCAUGCUCAUCAAAAUGAUGCAUCAGCGGUGAGAAAGCUGUUGCAGGAAGAUCGGAUGCUUGUUCUAG